AAAUUGAAGAGUUUGAUCAUGGCUCAGAUUGAACGCUGGCGGCAGGCCUAACACAUGCAAGUCGAACGGUAACAGGAAGCAGCUUGCUGCUUYGCUGACGAGUGGCGGACGGGUGAGUAAUGUCUGGGAAACUGCCUGAUGGAGGGGGAUAACUACUGGAAACGGUGGCUAAUACCGCAUAACGUCGCAAGACCAAAGAGGGGGACCUUCGGGCCUCUUGCCAUCRGAUGUGCCCAGAUGGGAUUAGCUGGUUGGUGAGGUAACGGCUCACCAAGGCGACGAUCCCUAGCUGGUCUGAGAGGAUGACCAGCCACACUGGAACUGAGACACGGUCCAGACUCCUACGGGAGGCAGCAGUGGGGAAUAUUGCACAAUGGGCGCAAGCCUGAUGCAGCCAUGCCGCGUGUAUGAAGAAGGCCUUCGGGUUGUAAAGUACUUUCAGC
rnacentral:rRNA from 1 species